CAGAACUCUCAGAUCUGCAAUGGCUUUCUCUGCUACGAGAUCUAUCCAAUUUACCCUUCCACAGUCCAAAUUUCACACAAUAUUACACAUAACAUCUAACACGAAUCAUACAUUUUCGAUUUCACAAAUUGUUAACCUUUCUACCUCUAAUUCCUACGAAUUUCUCAUCAAUCAUCACCCAAAUUCGUUCAUCAAUAAGUCACAAGUUCAUCACAUAUAUCAUUCAAUCAGAGGCAAUUUCAAUGGUUUCUCACUACCCAUCACAUACUAUCCCAUAAUACCCGUUAAUCGAUGAUAAACCCCCCUUACCUGAGUUAAUCCGGCACUUCCGUUAGCUUCAAGCUUUUCCUCUUCUCUUGCUCUGCCUCUUUGCCUUUUUCCACUUUCAGCCGCUUCUCUGUUCCUUUUCACGUGAAAACCCUUUUUACCACAAAUGGGACUUUUUAUUAUUCCAACUUAUUU
rnacentral:lncRNA from 1 species